rnacentral:misc_RNA from 1 species
UACGGAGUGGGCAAGCGUUGUUCGGAAUUACUGGGCGUAAAGGGCGCGUAGGCGGCGCGACCAGUCAGGCGUGACAGCCCCGGGCUCAACCUGGGAACUGCGUUUGAUACUGUCGUGCUAGAGGUUGGAAGAGGAGAGUGGAAUUCCCAGUGUAGAGGUGAAAUUCGUAGAUAUUGGGAAGAACACCAGUGGCGAAGGCGGCUCGCUGGUCCACACCUGACGCUGAGGCGCGAAAGCGUGGGGAGCAAACAGG